GCUGAGAUAUGGCAUUUUUGAUGCCCAUUUUUGGCCUCAGAAACGGACGUCGAAAACGACUUUUUCAGGAUUUUCAGAGUGCUCUCAUUCCCUUAGUUCUGCUCGGAUCCUGUUAUAACCCGGUAUUUUCGUAAUCUAGGUGACCCAAAUAAGACGCUGGUAUACUUAGUUUGAUUUCGAAAAAAAUCAAUUUUUGGUGAAAAAAUUCGAUACGGGGGGUAUACCCAAAAAAAUGAAAAAUUCCAAACUUUGAAGGUCGAUAUCUCGGCUUCUAUGGGAGCUAUCGGGAAAAUUCCAACGGUUUUGUCUUAGUUUUGUCAUUCUGAAUCCAACGAGACCAUCCGCAAGGUCGUAGCACUUCUAAUAGCCGAGAUAUGGCAUUUUUGAUGCCCAUUUUUGGCCUCAAAAACGGACGUCGAAAACGACUUUUUCAGGAUUUUCAGAGUGCUCUCAUUCCCUUAGUUCUGCUCGGAUCCUGUUAUAACCCGGUAUUUUCGUAAUCUAGGUGACCCAAAUAAGACGCUGCUAUACUUAGUUUGAUUUCGAAAAAAAUCAAUUUUUGGUGAAAAAAUUCGAUACGGGGGGGUAUACCCGAAAAAUGAAAAAUUCCAAACUUUGAAGGUCGAUAUCUCGGCUUCUAUGGGAGCUAUCGGGAAAAUUCCAACGGUUUUGUCUUAGUUUCAUAGUUCUGAAUCCAACGAGACCAUCCGCAAAAUCGUAGCUUUUACGAUAGCCGAGAUAUGGCAUUUUUGAUGCCCAUUUUUGGCCUCAAAAACGGACGUCGAAAACGACUUUUUCAGGAUUUUCAAAGUGCUCUCAUUCCCUUAGUUCUGCUCGGAUCCUGUUAUAACCCGGUGUUUUCAUAAUCUAGGUGACCCAAAUAAGACGCUGGUACACUUAGUUUGAUUUUGAAAAAAAUCAAUUUUUGGUGAAAAAAUUCGAUACGGGGGGGUAUACCCGAAAAAUUAAAAAUUCCAAACUUUGAAGGUCGUUAUCUCGGCUUCUAUGGGAGCUAUCGGGAAAAUUCUAACGGUUUUGUCUUAGUUUUGUCAUUCUGAA